UUAAGUUCAGCGGGUAGUCCUGCCUGAUUUGAGGUCAAGAUUCGUGUGGUUUUUUUCCAUCCCCGAGGAGGGGACGGAUAACGCGGGCGCAUCCCCGCCAUCCGACAACGCAAACUUAUCACGUCUGGAAUGGGGGGCGGGCGGGCGCGAUGCGUUUCAAGACGAGCCCUCGCGGGCACGCGUCCAAAUCCGAGGGACGC
rnacentral:misc_RNA from 1 species